rnacentral:rRNA from 1 species
AUUGAACGCUGGCGGCAGGCCUAACACAUGCAAGUCGAACGGUAACAGGAAACCGCUUGCUGUUUCGCUGACGAGUGGCGGACGGGUGAGUAAUGUCUGGGAAACUGCCUGAUGGAGGGGGAUAACUACUGGAAACGGUAGCUAAUACCGCAUACGUCGCAAGACCAAAGAGGGGGACCUUCGGGCCUCUUGCCAUCGGAUGUGCCCAGAUGGGAUUAGCUAGUAGGUGGGGUAACGGCUCACCUAGGCGACGAUCCCUAGCUGGUCUGAGAGGAUGACCAGCCACACUGGAACUGAGACACGGUCCAGACUCCUACGGGAGGCAGCAGUGGGGAAUAUUGCACAAUGGGCGCAAGCCUGAUGCAGCCAUGCCGCGUGUAUGAAGAAGGCCUUCGGGUUGUAAAGUACUUUCAGCGGGGAGGAAGGGAGUAAAGUUAAUACCUUUACUCAUUGGCGUUACCCGCAGAAGAAGCACCGGCUAACUCCGUG